CUUUUUACUUGUGGAUGGCAACUUCAGGUUUUUGGGAACACAUUGAAAAGUAACUUUAUGGAGGUGAGGUUUUCAUAGACCAGCAUACUUGGUGUCGUCUGGCGCAACCACCUGUCAAUCACUACGUGCUAUACCAGGCUACCACUGAGACUGAUUGCACAAGCCAAGCUAUUAGCUGUCAUGGCAGACAGAAAUACUCUUCAGACUCAUCAGCUGUCUGGGUGGCUGGUCAGAUGAUCCCACAGGUGAAGAAGCCGGAUGUGGAAGUCCUGGGCUGCCUUGGUUAUACGUGGUCUGCGGUUGUGAGGCCAGUUGGACAUACUGACAAAUUGUCUAAAACGACGUUGGAGGUGACUUAUGACUAAUCCUGGUGCUUCUGCUUUAGAAGUACAGAUUCUGUAG
rnacentral:lncRNA from 1 species